GUUCUCUGUCUCCUUCUGUAAAUUCUGGUUUCUAUUCAUUCCAGAACGUAUAAAAUUGUUUAACAGAUGCAACCAGCUUCAUCCCAUCAGUAUCCAUCUCCUGUGACUUUAUCGUGUAAUUGCAUCGCCCCUGUCUCUGAUUCAUCUGUGUAAUUUUGAAGAUUGAUGACACGAGGAAAAAAGCAAUCAAUCUGGGUUCUUGCUUGGAAUCAAUCGGCGUCAUCUUCCUCAGCGACGCGCUUCAUCUUGGCAGUGUCACGGGAAGAACUGUAGUUGCCGUUGGAUUCUAUACGGUGACGUGGGGACGACAAGCCAAAGAAAAGAAUAUCGCCGGAGACCAUUUCUCCUCGCCGGGAUCUUCCUCCAUUCAGUUUCUCUCCUCUCUGUAAAAUCUGCCUGCUUGGACUAACUGGGAAUUAAAGACUCACGAGCGAGCACGCACUGUUCGUGGCUCUGGUGCUGGGCUACAAAGGUUCUGAAUACCCUUCUCCCACGCUGGCUUCAGCCAUCGGCAACCUCACUCUCCUCUUCAUUAACAGUGGUGCUUCUCUACAAGGGGGGCGGCCCAGUGAUCAUCACAAGAAAGUCUAGAGAGAGAGAGACAGACAGACAGACAGACAGACACAGAGAAUGGACAGAGGAAAGUACUGGUACAGGGAGGUGCUGCCGGUGACGGCGAUGGUGACAAUGGAGUGCAUGAACGUCGGCCUGAACACGCUGUUCAAAGCGGCCACCGUCAGGGGAAUGAGCCACCACGUCUUCGUCGUCUACUCCUACGCAGUCGCCGCUCUCCUCCUCCUCCCUUCCCCCUUCUUCUCCUCCAGAUCAAGGACGCUGCCUCCGGUCACCUUGUCCGUCGCAUGCAAAAUCCUCCUUCUUGGGCUCAUCGGGUCCACGUCGCAGGUGAUGGGAUACACGGGAAUCAACUACAGCUCGCCCACGCUGGCUUCAGCCAUCAGCAACCUCGUCCCCGCUUUCACUUUCAUCCUUGCACUCAUGUUCAGGAUGGAGAAGCUAGAGCCCAGAAGCUCAACCAGUCGAGCUAAAAUCAUAGGCACCGUAGUAUCAAUUUCAGGCGCAUUUGUAGUCACUCUUUACAAAGGUCCGGCGAUCGCACCGCCGGGUCUGCCGCCCUCUGUUGCACUUCAUCAGCCCAGCUUGCCGCCGUCCAAAUGGGUCAUCGGCGGACUUUGCCUCACGACAGAGUAUCUUCUGGUUCCAAUGUGGUACAUUGUUCAGGCACAGAUCAUGAAAGAGUACCCAGCUGAACUGACGGUGGUCUUCUUCUACAACCUGUGCGUUAGCAUCCUAGCAGCAAUCGUCGGCGUCAUCGCGGAGCCGAAUACCAGCGCUUGGAGAAUCAGAUUUGAUAUAGCAUUGGUCUCUGUAUUAUGCUCGGGCAUAUUCGGGUCGUUCUUGAACAAUGCCGUACACACAUGGGUGCUGCGAGUGCGAGGGCCGGUCUAUGUCGCCAUGUUCAAGCCACUGUCCAUCGCCAUUGCAGUGGCUAUGGGGGUCAUCUUCCUGGGCGACACUCUGUAUCUGGGAAGCAUGGUUGGAGCGACGAUAAUAUCUGUCGGGUUUUACACUGUAAUGUGGGGGAAGGCGAAAGAAGACAUGGCUGAGGGUUGUGAAACUGCCGAUGUGGAAUCGUCGCCCUCAUCUGAUGAAAGAAUCCCUCUGCUGCGAAGCCACAAAAACUGAAGAAAUGUAGAUCCGGCCGCCUGGCAACUCAGAUCUCAGUAUCAGCAGAGCGGGAGGAUUGUGUCUCUAAAGGUUAGAGCAACCCACAGAGAUCAACUAUGAAGCGGUCAAGGAGGAGGAAGCAUGAAGAACUUGUACCAUCUGAAGAAACAGCCACACAUAUGUGAAUGUGGGCAGAAGGCGGUUGAAAUACCAGACAAGGGAUGAGUGCAAGGGGAUGAAGAGGGGACGGGAGACAGGCCAAGCCUUGGGAAGCAGUAGGAGGAAAAAGAACCCUGGUCAUUCAUA